rnacentral:sRNA from 1 species
GAGAGCCUAGUGCGGACUGAAGCUUUCUGUUUAUCCACAGAACAGAUACAGCAUGGGAAGAGGCCGUGCAAUGUCUCAGUUUGCCUAAACCCUGACCUGGAGGGACAACCACUAAGAAUAAGAGGUUAGUUCAGUGUCCAUCCGCCCUUGGUUUCAUGCUGAG